rnacentral:rRNA from 1 species
CCGGCGACCGGUGCACGGGUGAGUAACACGUAUGCAACCUGGCCGCCACAGGGGGAUAACCCGCGGAAACGCGGCCUAAUACCCCGUGACGCCACCGGAGGGCAUCCUCCGGUGGCCAAAGGAGCGAUCCGGUGGCGGAUGGGCAUGCGGCGCAUUAGCUAGACGGCGGGGUGACGGCCCACCGUGGCGACGAUGCGUAGGGGUUCUGAGAGGAAGGCCCCCCACACUGGGACUGAGACACGGCCCAGACUCCUACGGGAGGCAGCAG